UACGUAGGGGGCAAGCGUUGUCCGGAAUUAUUGGGCGUAAAGAGCGUGUAGGCGGUCCGGUAAGUCAGCUGUGAAAGUCAAGGGCUCAACCCUUGAAUGCCGGUUGAUACUGUCGGGCUAGAGUCCGGAAGAGGCGAGUGGAAUUCCUGGUGUAGCGGUGGAAUGCGCAGAUAUCAGGAGGAACACCAAUAGCGAAGGCAGCUCGCUGGGACGGUACUGACGCUGAGACGCGAAAGCGUGGGGAGCGAACAGG
rnacentral:rRNA from 1 species